UUUCCUUUCUUUUUGUAAAUACUGUUUAAUGCAGAGUGAGCUUCAGAGACUACACCAUACAGGGGUGAAACAGCAUGUGACUUCAUUAGGAUGCACAUAAGUAGACAGCAAUGAUGGCAGACGGUGAGAUUCGUAGGCCCAUGAAGAUAUGUCAAGAAAAGAACUGAGGUAAUCCAAAAGAAAGUACUUGGGGACUUCCAGUAAGUUCUUGAGCCAACAGAAAUACACCCAAAUGCCAAAGCACUCCCUCGCUAAAGUCAAUACGUGAACAUGUGAAUAUUAUUUUGGAGGCCGUUGUGCUAAUGCGAGUGUGUUAAGGUCAAUAAGUCGAAAGGAAAGAUGUUGGCAUAAGAUCGAUGAAAGUGAUUUAUUG